UACGUAGGGUCCGAGCGUUGUCCGGAAUUAUUGGGCGUAAAGGGCUCGUAGGCGGUUUGUCGCGUCGGGAGUGAAAUCUUACAGCUUAACUGUGAACUUGCUUCCGAUACGGGCAGACUUGAGGCAUUCAGGGGAGAACGGAAUUCCUGGUGUAGCGGUGAAAUGCGCAGAUAUCAGGAGGAACACCGGUGGCGAAGGCGGUUCUCUGGGAAUGUACUGACGCUGAGGAGCGAAAGCGUGGGGAGCGAACAGG
rnacentral:rRNA from 1 species